CCCUUAGAUGCUCUGGGCCGCACGCGCGCUACACUGGUCGAUGCAACGAGUUUCUUUCCUUGGCCGACAGGCCUGGGCAAUCUUUGAACAUCGAUCGUGAUCGGGAUAGAUUCUUGUAAUUUUUGAUCUUAAACGAGGAGUUCCUAGUAAACGCAAGUCAUCAGCUUGCAUUGAUUACGUCCCUGCCCUUUGUACACACCGCCCGUCGCACCUACCGAUUGAAUGGUCCGGUGAAAUCUCCGGACUGGCGUGAGUCGGAGCAAUCUGACAAACGCCGGAAAGUUGAUUAAACCUUACCAUUUAGAGGAAGGUGAAGUCGUAACA
rnacentral:rRNA from 1 species